rnacentral:tRNA from 1 species
ACCUAGCUGGCUCAGUUGGUAGAGCCUGUGACUCUUGAUCUUGGGGUUGUAAGUUCAAGACCCAUGUUGGGUG